UUACUGUGUCCUCGGGGUCCAGUUUUCCCAGGAAUCCCUUAGAUGAUAAGAGGGGGAUUCCUGGAAAUACUGUUCUUGGGGUCAUGGCU
rnacentral:pre_miRNA from 11 species